CGCGCCCGCGCCUCCGCCUCGCCCGGGCUCUCCAGCGCCGAGAAGACCGUGGCGCCUGCCACCAGGUAGAGGCCGAUGAGCGCUGCCAGCAGCACGAAGCGGCCCGUGUCCUCGUUGAGUUUGUAGAUGGAGCCAAAUGGAGAUGGCAGGGGACCGAUGGGGAAAGACUCCACCACCAAAGUCAGAAGCAAGCUUCCUGGCGCUGGGUAGCACGCGGAUAUUUUGACUCAAUCACUUGGAUGCCAUCAUUUCAACUUGUAGAUCAUUUGAUUCUGCUACGCUCUUGGGAACUUCAGAGAAGACACCUAAGCAGGUGCUGUUCCUGAGCGUGCACCCCAAGAAACCUCCCUGACUGAGUCUGUUCCAAGUAAGCUGACCAAAGACAGUCCAAGAGGGACUGUAGGUUCCCAGGAGGCAGAGCCCAGGACUUUGAGGUCCCCGGCACCCGGAGUGCCACUACAUGGCACAAUGAAGACUUGAGUCGUGGGGAUGGACCCAGAAGAGAGGGCAAGGCGUGUGUCUACAUCCAUCUCACUAGAAGCCAGAGUCAUUCAGGCAGAAGACAGCCAUGUGACAACACAGGCAGAGAUUGGAGUGGUGCAUCUGUAAGCCAAGGAACACCCACGAUUGCCAACAAACACCAGAAACUGGAAGAGACAAAGAAAGAUCCUCCUCUACAGGUUUCAGAGAGAGCAUAGUCCUACCAACAGCUUGAUUUUGGAUUCCUGCCCUCCAGAACUGUGAGAUAGUACAUUUGUGUUGUUUUCUGCCUACCGGUGUGUGGCACUUUGUGAGGGCAGCCCUAAAAAACUAAAACGGAGGUGAAAGCCACUUCAUUUCAGAGUACCCGUUUAAAUAGCAUCAACGUUGUCCAUGCGCGGCCAGUCGAGGGUGCCAGGAUGGUUCAGAGACUCAUCCGUCAUCCUUCCUGAGUUUGUCCCAUCACUGCUCUACUCCUGGAGGCCCUGGAUGGAGCCUCGUUACAGUUAGGGCAGGGGGGCCCCACUGGAGUCAUGGGCAGAGACUGGGCCUGGGGUCAGGGUUGGUGUGUAGUAGACCUGGAUCCUAGCCUGGGCUCUCAAUUAUCUCUGCUGCAAAGCCUCAUGAGGGCAAUUCCUGGGAAACCCACAUGACACGAUGUCUCACUGAGGUUCAAACGAACGUCUCAGCAAAACAGAAAUUAUUACAGCUCAUCAAACUUCAGAGUCAGCUAGAGAAUGUUUGGUGCGCUGAGUGUUAAAUGUGUGAAUGCUGAGGGUAUGGCAAUGCGUGAGGUAUCCCCAUGCUAUGCCGGCAUGUCCUUAAGUGCCCAGGUGACCCUGGACACGCAGACCUGUCUCCUCUGCCGUGUGUCAUACCUGGGGACUCUGCUAUACUUUCUUGUGCUCACCACCACUCCAAGAACACUAGCUCUCCUAAACCCACACCUGGCCAAUCUGAAAAACAAAUCCAAGUCCUCAGUGAUAAUAACAAACCGCAUUUGUUCACCUCCUAAACGCUGUUCCAGGCACCGAUCCAUUUUACAGCUCUACGACACGGCCUUUUAGCUCCUUGUUACACGUGUGGACACAGAGGCUCAGAGAGAUUGAGGACUUGACCCAACUGGUGGUGGGGAGGGUACAGCUGGCACACGAGUCCCAGGCUGACCGACUCCAAAGCCCCGGCUCUCUCCACUCGGCCCCCACGGGGCCUUACUCUGUUUUCCUCCCAGAACAGCUGCCUUCUUUCUUCUGACAGGAGUCUUUUAGAAAACGAUAACCCUUAGGAAUUUUAGGCACCGUGACAGGCCGCUGAUGGAAAACGUUGGAGUGGCAAGUCCUUCUGGGGCAGCCUUUAUGCCUAUGAAUUCAGAAGUCUCGAUGCUUAGUUCUGGGUCUAUUUUUAGUGCCUCGAUCUUGCCAGCGGCCCAGGCGUGUCCUGAAGCUCUGUUGGCUUCCUGGGGCAGAGCUGUCAAGCAGAUUGAACUCUACCUAUUGAGAUGCUUGUGGCAUUUGAGAUGAGGUACUUCUCUCAGUUAAUUCUAACCUGCCAGUGUUCAUUUUUUUCUUUUGAAGCCCAAAUAGCAACGUGUCAGCUCCCUAAACAAAGGGCCAGCGUUGACUUCUACUCCCCUCUUUCGGUUAGAGUCAUGGAAGGUGCCAGAAUGAGGGAGUUGGGACUGGUGUUGGUAUGUGUGUUUGGGGUGGAGGGGAGAAAGAUCAUGGGGUUACAUAAAAUAUGGGACACCCAUUCCAUGGAAAGCAGUGCAGCUAUUAAAAUGUGAUGUAUUUAUCAAUAUGAAAAUAUAUUGUGGAGUCAAAAAGAACGGGUUACAAAACUGUGUAGCAUAACCCAUUUUGCAUUUAAAAAUAUAUCUACACAUAAAAUUUACCAGGAAGGCAUAUUCUGAAAUGAUUAUAAUUGUUAUCUCUGGGUGGUGAGA